GUGUUGGAGAGGAAGGGGUGGGGGUGUCAAAAUCGAGAAAUCUAAUUUAUCAUAGAAAUGAGAGAUAUAAAUUUUUUAGAACGUUUAGAGAGGCCUGGGGCUAUAUUUAGCUAUAGGGAGUUUAGGAGGGGGCUCUGCUUUCUGAUACAUGUUUAAGGUAUGGAAAUCUAAUUUAUUUAGGAUUUCAAUAGACGAAAUGACGCUCCUAUACAAAGGCCUCCCUACAAGUUUCGCAAAGCUUUGUUACCCCCCCCCCCCUCCACCACCACCACCUUUCUAGAUAUAAGUACAUGCAUUGGCUUGAUUAUGUGGGAAAUGAAUUCCCGUUCUGUGAGUUCAAUAUUCAAGACAUAUGGGGGGGGGGGUUACAGUUGUCCUCUUGCUUAUUAUGAAGUCGUCAUCGUGAAAAAGAAAUCGAUUAACAAAUUCGCAGAAUCAGUCAAGAAUUUUCAAAUCCUGACAAAGAUUUUAAUUGGGUUUUCAGACUAGCUCGAACUGUACAACUGCACUAUGGUCGAGUUGGUAUCAAUAAUUCACAACCCAGACAGCUGCAAGUAUAAGGAAGUAGGAACCGACGACAGAUAGCGCCAUUAAUUUACUCCAGAAGAAUUCAAUAUCAAAUCGAUCAAGCAAGGUACAUAAAAGUACGAAGCUAUAUAACGUAAGUAUAAGCAUUGUGUGCUACCAGCGAAUUUUGAAUAAAACAUCCUCUUGGCAUUUAAUAUAAGUAAUUGAAAGAAGAUUAUCGGCAUUGUGAAAAGUUAAGCUACCCAUUAGAAGUAAAGUUACGUAAAAAAAAAAAAAAAAAUUGUGUGAGAAUUGAUCGAAUGCCCUCUACUGAACUUAUAUUUAUCCCUCUCCAGACCAGUGAAGCGUAACAUAAAUAUAUCGAUCACUUUGUAUCCUAGCAAACCGAAGGGAAAACCAUGUAAACUCAUCUAUAUAACAGGACGAAGAUAACACUAGUAGUAUGGCCAUGACAAAGAAAACGGUCUACAUACGGGUGGUGUUCCUGAAGGUUGGUGAGAUCGAUACGGUUAAGGAGAAGUACUCCGCGGAUGUCUUUGUCCAGGCCAGAUGGAGGGAACCAGCAUUGGACUUCAGUCAACAUCUGAGGAACACAAAUCUGGACAAUUACUGGGGUCCCAAAUUGUCUGUACAGAACGUAAUAGAUUUCAAGAAAAAGAAAGUCCUGAAGGAGUUGACUUAUGCUUCUAAUGGGGUAGCAUAUAUUGUGGAAAAGAGAAAAAUCAGCGGGAACUUCUCAGAGAAACUGGAGCUGGUGGAUUUUCCUUUCGAUCGUCAGCAUUUGAACCUGAUAAUCACUUCUGAGAUUCCCUCAAGUGAAUUAGAAUUUGUUGAGGACAAGGACGAGCUGAGUACAAUAAAUGUGUCCUGCUUUGUGGACGUCCAGGAGUGGUCACUCUAUGACUACGUAGAAUCCGUUCCUUACACCGAAACCAAAGUCUUCUCCCAGAAACGGAACGUCAACGCCAAAUUUCCGGGCAUUUCUGUCGGCUGCUGCGCAGUGCGGCGCGCGGGAUUCUUCGUCUGGAAUGUUAUUGUCAUCAUGACCCUUAUAUGUGCUACUUCUUUCGCCACGUUUGCCGUCAGCCGCAAACUACCUCAGAACAGACUGCAGCUCUCUAUCACACUGAUGCUGACGGCAGUGACGUUUAGACUGACAACAAACGCCAACAUUCCUAAAAUAUCCUAUCAUACUCGUCUGGACAAGUUCAUCCUUACUAAUAUGUUUUUUAAUUGGUUGGUGACGGCAUGGCACGCGCUCAUAACGAGGUUUGAUUAUGACGAGGCCCUCCAGGAGAUGAUGGAUAAUUGGGCUUUCGUGGUCUUUCUCGUCUCGUACGGUGUCUUCCUGGUCGUCUUUAGUAUCGUAGUACUUAUCACCUACGUGAUGAGAAAUAAUGAAUUACAAUCAAAACUUCAAAUAUAUGAGAUCUUCAAGUCUGGCUAGAUAGUUUAGAGAUCACAAAAUUCAUAAUCCAAUCACAAAACUAUUGCAACACAAAGGACCUUGUACAUAUAGUCAACGGUUUGUAAUUCACCACAUUUCUGUAAUAGACCACAAUUCCCUGACCUGAGACUCUGCUACUUACAGGAGAAGGCAAGAAGACUUGUUGGUGGAGAUUGGAAAAGUACACGAGAGAAAGACCACGAUGACGUCGUCGUCAGGAGGCGUGCCGGAUUGUCCUACACAACACCAGGGACCCCAUCCGCAGUGUACCCUAUGGACACCUAGAGUUUUAUUAUAAAUAUGUACUUUUCAAAUUACUAAUAUUUAUGAUAUCAUGUAAAUGUGCGAUUAUAUUUUUGAAAUAUACUUUGAACAAUG